rnacentral:rRNA from 1 species
GAUGAACGCUGGCGGCGUGCCUAAUACAUGCAAGUCGAGCGAACAGACGAGGAGCUUGCUCCUCUGACGUUAGCGGCGGACGGGUGAGUAACACGUGGAUAACCUACCUAUAAGACUGGGAUAACUUCGGGAAACCGGAGCUAAUACCGGAUAAUAUAUUGAACCGCAUGGUUCAAUAGCGAAAGACGGUUUUGCUGUCACUUAUAGAUGGAUCCGCGCCGCAUUAGCUAGUUGGUAAGGUAACGGCUUACCAAGGCAACGAUGCGUAGCCGACCUGAGAGGGUGAUCGGCCACACGGGAACUGAGACACGGUCCAGACUCCUACGGGAGGCAGCAGUAGGGAAUCUUCCGCAAUGGGCGAAAGCCUGACGGAGCAACGCCGCGUGAGUGAUGAAGGUCUUCGGAUCGUAAAACUCUGUUAUUAGGGAAGAACAAAUGUGUAAGUAACUAUGCACGUCUUGACGGUACCUAAUCAGAAAGCCACGGCUAACUACGUG